AAAAAAAAAAAUUAUACAUUGAUAAAUACUUCUUCAAAUAGCAAAAAGGACAAAGAACUCAAAAAUUGAAUAUCAUAGCCCUUUAAUAUACAGAAUGACAAAUAGAUUAUAUUUUAUAAAAUUUUUGAGGUUUACACCUCUUCUGGGAAUACCAUUACAUCAACUGCUAAUGAUGAAGAACUCCCUUAAGAUGAUUAUUACUAAACCUAGGACAGAGGAAAACUGGAUAUGCUUAAUGAGCUGUUUGCUUUUAACUUUCAGUUGUUGCUAUUUACUGAUGUUGGGCACUUGUAAUUAAAAUUUCAAAAAUUCAAUUACAUUUAAAAGAAAAUACAAGCAUUCAAACCAAGUAGAAUGAGAAAUUGAAGUUCUUAACCAAAUCCAUUCCAAUCAUCAUUCUUACAUCAUUAUUUUUUCCCUUUCUG
rnacentral:misc_RNA from 1 species